CCUACGGGAGGCAGCAGUGAGGAAUAUUGGUCAAUGGACGCAAGUCUGAACCAGCCAUGCCGCGUGCAGGAAGACGGCUCUAUGAGUUGUAAACUGCUUUUGUACGAGGGUAAACGCAGAUACGCGUAUCUGUCUGAAAGUAUCGUACGAAUAAGGAUCGGCUAACUCCGUGCCAGCAGCCGCGGUAAUACGGAGGAUUCAAGCGUUAUCCGGAUUUAGUGGGUUUAAAGGGUGCGUAGGCGGUCGGAUAAGUUAGAGGUGAAAUCCCGAGGCUCAACUUCGGAAUUGCCUCUGAUACUGGUCGGCUAGAGAGUAGUUGCGGUAGGCGGAAUGUAUGGUGUAGCGGUGAAAUGCUUAGAGAUCAUACAGAACACCGAUUGCGAAGGCAGCUUACCAGGCUACUUCUGACGUUGAGGCACGAAAGCGUGGGGAGCAAACAGGAUUAGAUACCCGGGUAGUC
rnacentral:rRNA from 1 species